rnacentral:rRNA from 1 species
AACGAACGCUGGCGGCAGGCCCUUACAUGCAAGUCGAGCGCACCUUCGGGUGAGCGGCGGACGGGUUAGUAACGCGUGGGAACGUGCCCUUCUCUCCGGAAUAGCCUCUGGAAACGGAGAGUAAUACCGUAUACGCCCUUUGGGGGAAAGAUUUAUCGGAGAAGGAUCGGCCCGCGUUAGAUUAGGUAGUUGGUGGGGUAACGGCCUACCAAGCCUACGAUCUAUAGCUGGUUUUAGAGGAUGAUCAGCAACACUGGGACUGAGACACGGCCCAGACUCCUACGGGAGGCAGCAGUGGGGAAUCUUAGACAAUGGGCGCAAGCCUGAUCUAGCCAUGCCGCGUGAGUGAAGAAGGCCUUAGGGUCGUAAAACUCUUUCGCCAGAGAUGAUAAUGACAGUAUCUGGUAAAGAAACCCCGGCUAACUCCGUG